rnacentral:tRNA from 1 species
GGCGGCUAUAACUCAGUUGGUUAGAGUGUUAGGUUGUGGUUCUAAAAGUCAUGGGUUCAAGUCCCAUUAUCCGCC